GAUGAACGCUGGCGGCGUGCCUAAUACAUGCAAGUCGAGCGAACAGACGAGGAGCUUGCUCCUCUGACGUUAGCGGCGGACGGGUGAGAAACACGUGGAUAACCUACCUAUAAGACUGGGAUAACUUCGGGAAACCGGAGCUAAUACCGGAGAAUAUAUUGAACCGCAUGGUUCAAUAGUGAAAGACGGUUUUGCUGUCACUAAUAGAUGGUUCCGGGCGGCAUUAGAUAGUUGGUAAGGUAACGGGCUACGAAGGCAAGGAUGCGUAGCCGACCGGAGAGGGUGAUCGGCGACACUGGAACUGGGACACGGUCCAGACUCCUACGGGAGGCAGCAGUAGGGAAUGUGCCGCAAUGGGCGAAAGCCUGACGGAGCAAGGCGGCGUGAGUGAUGAAGGUCUUCGGAUCGUAAAACUCUGUUAUUGGGGAAGAACAGAUGUGUAAGUAACUGUGCACGUCUUGACGGUACCUAAUCAGAAAGCCACGGCUAACUACGUG
rnacentral:rRNA from 1 species